UACGUAGGGUGCAAGCGUUGUCCGGAAUUAUUGGGCGUAAAGAGCUCGUAGGCGGUCUGUCGCGUCGGCUGUGAAAUCCCGAGGCUCAACCUCGGGUCUGCAGUCGAUACGGGCAAACUAGAGUAUUGCAGGGGAGACUGGAAUUCCUGGUGUAGCGGUGAAAUGCGCAGAUAUCAGGAAGAACACCCGUGGCGAAGGCGGUUCUCUGGGACGGUACUGACGCUGAGACGCGAAAGCGUGGGGAGCGAACAGG
rnacentral:rRNA from 1 species